UACAGAGGGUGCAAGCGUUAAUCGGAAUUACUGGGCGUAAAGCGCGCGUAGGUGGUUUGUUAAGUUGGAUGUGAAAUCCCCGGGCUCAACCUGGGAACUGCAUUCAAAACUGACAAGCUAGAGUAUGGUAGAGGGUGGUGGAAUUUCCUGUGUAGCGGUGAAAUGCGUAGAUAUAGGAAGGAACACCAGUGGCGAAGGCGACCACCUGGACUGAUACUGACACUGAGGUGCGAAAGCGUGGGGAGCAAACAGGAUUAGAAA
rnacentral:rRNA from 1 species